AGCAAUGGAUCUACUCUAACUAUCAGUUCUGUAUCUGUAUCACAAUCUGGAAACUAUACUUGUAAACCAAGUAAUAUGAAACCUGACUCUGUGGUUGUAACUAUCCUGGCAGAGAGCAAAUCUGCUAAUGCACUUCAGGAUAAAACUUCUGCAGUACCUGGCACCCAAAAGUACGGUGUACAAUGUACAAUUUUCUUGGUGCACCUAUUAUUAAUGUAUAAACUAGUCUAAAAUUCUUCAAGUUGAAAUAAAUAUUUAAUUGUUA